UACAGAGGGUGCAAGCGUUGUUCGGAAUUAUUGGGCGUAAAGCGCGUGUAGGCGGCUUUGCAAGUCGGGUGUGAAAGCCCUCAGCUCAACUGAGGAAGUGCGCCCGAAACUGCAGAGCUUGAGUACCGGAGAGGGUGGCGGAAUUCCCCAAGUAGAGGUGAAAUUCGUAGAUAUCGAGAGGAACACCGGUGGCGAAGGCGGCCUUCUGGACAGUGACUGACGCUGAGACGCGAAAGCGUGGGGAGCAAACAGG
rnacentral:rRNA from 1 species